ensembl:lincRNA Gm28340 predicted gene 28340
GAGGACCUGGUGUGGGAGUGAGGGGACCCAAGCCAUUGCAAAUGGGGGGAAAAGGGGCCAGUCAAGACAAUAGAGCUACAUCAUCCAAAGAAGGAUCAAACUGAUCACAGUCCUUGUGACCUUUUACCCUUCCUUUAAUUCUCAAUACUGAACAUCUGUGUUUCUUGGUCAAUGCCUGAAAGUAAUAAAGACAAUUAGAGCU